GCAGGAGGUGCCCUUUAUCCUAAGGGCAGUGAAGAGCAACGCUGGACUAUUUUCAUUUCAGAUCAGUCAGUGCCUGUAGUGUGAAGGGGUCACUGGAGAGGGCCAGUAGGCUGGGAGUCUGGUUAGGAGGCCAUUGCAGUGGUGGAAGUUUAUCCAGUCGGAGGAAGUGAAGUCGCAGCUGAAAUGGGGCCACAAUAAGAGAAGAUUCGGACAUGUCCUGAAAAAAUUUGCAGUAACCUGCUUUCCAAUGGCACCUCUCUCCAUCCAGCACAUUUUCAUUAUGUGCCUACUAUGUGCAAGGCACUGUGCUUCCUGCUGGGAUUCAACAGUGAAAAGUGGUUCCUGCCUCAUAAACACAUUCAAAACCCUCAAGUGAUGCAAGGUACCAUGCAGGAAUCCAUUAGAGGGACCAGGGGAAGGCACACGGAGGCACUGAUGCGCUGGCUACUUUGAAUAACUCGUGGUAAAUCUGAGACUGGGAGUAUGGUCUCCCCAUGCCAUCUGGGGCAACAGCAGGCUCAUGCCAGGUCGCUUGUGGCAAUAAUGACACCUGGCUUCCCUUA